GAUACUGACGAUCAUUCUCCAAUAUUUAAAGGAUUCAAUUGGAAUUAUUUAUUUUAUUUAUUUUUACUUGUCCCCGCAACUGGGAUUCCUGUUGGAUUGUAUUAUUAUUGUAAAAAAAGAAGGAAAAAAGGGCAGCAUGUUGAGGCGAAAAGAACCAACAACAGGAACAGAAGAUUUUCGACACCGUCUUGGGUAUUUAGCGAACCUGAUUUUAUUGACGAAGAAGUUAUAACACUGGAAGAAGAGAAAACCAAAUAAUAUGUCAUUUUUAGUUUAUUAAUAAAUACGCAUUUUUUUAA